CCCCCCUAACCCCUUACACCUUUUCCUCCUAAAAAACCUAGCGCCGCCUGCCUUUUCUCUUUCUCUCUCUUCAUCAUCGACGCCUGAAAUGGCAAAUUCUCAAAAGACAACAACCUUGUACAGGCUUUGCAAGGCCGAGAAAGGUAAAGCAGUAAAUGUUUCCGCCAUUUCUCACCUAAUCCAACCACAAAAACAGUAUAACCCUCUCCCUCUCUCUUUUCUUUUGCUUAAACGGUCAAAACUCCAUAAAAAUUUAAUUAUUUUUGUUUGCAUUUGUUUGAAAUCGGGUAAUUAGUUCAUGAGAAACCAAAGGGAUUGACCCAAUUUUAGGUCGAUCUCGACCCUUGAUGUGUUUUGAGAGUGAAUCUUGACCUUUGAAUGUUGAAGCAAGGCUGAUUCUCAAAGAUUUGUGAAAGUCCCACAUCGGUUUGGGAUUUAAUUAUAGGUUUUUUGGGUUCUAUAUAAAGAACCCCCAAUCCUUCAUUUUGAAGACACCGAAUAUCAAAAUAUAUUCAAAAAACUCGAAAUUCCUAAGUUUUUUUUAGCACUUUGCUUCAAAACUUUAAUAGUUUGAGUUAAGUUUAAUUUUAAAGUAUUUUUGUUCUUGUGUGGGUUUGUGGCUAAGUAUUGGAAUUAAGGAGGCAAAAAGGGUUCUUCCAAGUUCAAUCUCGAUCUACGGCUGCGCAUAGAAGAGGUAAAAUUCCCUUCCUUUCUAUUUAGUUUAGUUUUGUUUUAGUUUGUUUUGCCAUGCUUGUUUGUUGCUGCUUUGUUUUUCUUUAGCUCAGCAUAAUUAGGUUGUGAUUACUGUUAGCAGUUAGUUUAAUAUGCUUUAAUAUGUUUUACUGUUAGUCCUGCCCUGGUUAGAGUUUAAUAUGAUUUAAUAGCUUGUAAGUUAAUUGCUUGUAGUAAGCAUGAUAAAUGGCUGUGUUUUGUUUUAGUUACAAUAUGAUUAAGGAUUAGUUAUGGCAAUUUCUUAGUUGUAGAGUAUGAUUGGAAGAUUAAUGUUAGUCUGCCUUGAUAACUCAGUUAAGAUUGUUAAUAUUGUGAGCAUGAUUAGGAUAAAAACAUGUUGAUGAAAUCUGAUACUUAAGAUUAAAAAUAACUGUUAGUAAGCUUGGUUAAAGAGUUUUAGCAUCUCAACUUAGUCAAAGUUAUCACUGAACACCUACUUUGAGUGACUUGUCCUUUUUGUCUGAUUAAGUGGUCAUUAUAUAGUUAAAAGGACAAUUGUUGAUUUCUGUUAGCAUGUUUAACCCCUAAAUGAUGAUUUAUGGAUAUGUUUAAGUAUGUAUUAGGACUGAUUCCAUGUUAAUAUGGUUAACUACCAAAAUGAUUAUCUUGAGAUAUCUUGAAAUGCUGUCUAUAUGUCUUUAACUUGCAUUAGGUUUGUUUGAACUUACCUAGACUUGAACUAUGCUGAUUAAGACUAAAAAGUGAUAUUUGACCUGAUUCAAUAAGUGAACAACACCAUCUGUAUGCUCCCCUUUAUGACCCUCCCAUGUUAAGAAACAAGUGAAAUGCAUGUAUACUUGCAUGAUGAAUCCUGUAUAUGUGUUAUACCUGCAACAAUAUUCUAAUUUAUGUGGAUUUUUGGGUCUGUAUGCACUAUGUAUGUUGAUUAGUUCAUCUUUUUUUACCCCUUUACUUGGUCUCUUUGUGAUGCUGUUCAGUUUUUAAGGUUUAAAUGUCUUAACAUGUUUUCUCUCUGCUGUUUUUCCCUGAAUUGGAUGACUUUCCUUCAUGAUGUAUGAGGUAAUAUGCUCAGGUAUACAAAGAUAUACUCAGUUCUUUAUACAUACAAGUUGUAUACGGGUUGGUAUAUUCAAUAUACAAGGGUGUAUCACUCAUUUAACUUAUUAAUGUUGGCUGUUGUCGAGUCCAUUUAAUCUUUGGGCCUGUCACUGGGUCUCUGCUUGUGUGCUAAAUAUGAGUUAUAUUCGGCCCAGUCUGCUUAUUCCUGUAGGACCUAUUGGGCCUUGAAUUCUUCCUUUUUGAUAACUUGGGUUUGGAUUCGUUCUGUUUGAUAGAAAUUUGCCGGUUUUAUAUCAUCUACAUAAUUGCUUGAUUUAUAUGUCUUGUUUCGUCUAAUUAGGUACUGUUUGAGUACUUAGAAUAGAUAUUAAUCUUUAUCCCCUUCUAUGUUCCAUGUAAAACCCAUUCUGGGCCAUUUGAGCUACCUUUUGCAUUGAGCCCUACUGGGCCAAAGGCCCAACAACACUUCCUUUAUCGAGUCCAUAUGGCAAGGGAAGCUAAUAUUGUUUUGAAGGCCCAGUAAUGGGUGAAAAUGACUUGAAGACCCAGCUAUGGGUGAAAUAGCUAAUUGGUGGGCUUAGGAAUCUGAAGAUGAACACCAAGAACGCACCAGAGCUGGAAGUUAUGAGGAAGAAUGAGGUCUCGCUUCACCGAAAGAUUCAGAAACUCGAAAAGCAAAUUUGAGCAGUCAAGGCCAAGAUCAAAGAGGCUGAUGAGUUAAUGGAUUCGGCGGAACCAAUUGAAACUCAAGGAGAGAAUGUCUUGGACAAGGGAAAAGAAAUCUUUCCCAAAUACAUCCUGAUAAUGGAGGAGUCCGAAGAGGAAGAAAUGGAAUUGGACCCGCAGGAGCCUACCUGGCCAUCAAGGGAGGCUGCCUCCGCUGCGCCAUUAAGCCCAAAAAGGGAAGGAACUUCUGUUGCGCCGUCAAGUCCUAGGGGAGAACCCAAGGAAUGAAUAGAGUAUGUCUGACCAGCCUCGCCUGAAUAGUGGGCUAUUGCGCUUAAGCGUUGGAUUGUCCCUACAGCGUCUUGCCUAAGCACAUAACGAGUGAGGAGAUGAUGAUAAAGUUUCGAGGCAAAGGGAUAGUCAGUAUCAACUUCGGCAGGUUGCCACCGUGUGCUCCGGUCUUCGCGCACAAAAGAUGCCCUUGUCACCGGGAUCAGUCAGAGGACACCAUCAACGAAUGUUUGGCCUUUAAGAGAAGGCUCAUCGAGCUGAUAGAUAAGAAAAGUAUCACCAAGAUGUGGGGCCUGUUGACAUCUAAGUUUUGACCUCCCGUAAUUUGUUUUAAUCACUCAGAAUCCCCGGAUAAUAAAUAAAGGAGCUGAGCAUUUUUAAGUCUUAAAUGAUUUUAAUAAAUUGUCCAUAUCAAUAUUUUCCCCCCUUAAAUUAACAAAAAGGGAUUUUCAUGCAUCAUAAAUUUUAUUUAGAGAUUAAUGAGCAUUUUUCAUGAUAUUCUUUUUAUGUUUAAUUAAAAAAGGAAAGGAGAGAUAGAGGAAGGGUUCUUAUUUAAUUAUUUAAAAAAUACUUCUUUCCUUUUUAUUUCAACCUUGAAAAUUUGAAUAAUUUAAAUAAUUUAAGUAAUUAACUAUUUAACCUUUUAAACUUCUGAUUUUUAUAUAAUUUGCAUGAUUUGUCAAAAUAGGCAUAAUUUCCCUUAAAUGUUUUAAUUAGGCUAAUUAAUUAAUUAAGUGAUAAUUACUGCAAAAUUGAUCCUUUUAUAUAGACAUAUUUUUUGCCUUGGCCAGAAUUAAUUUAAUCAGUUGAUAAUUUAAAGAAAUUAGGGUUGUUUUGCAAAAUCAGUCUGUUAACAUUUGAUUUGAAAUAAUAGGUUUAAUUUAAUUUUCAAAAUUGAUUAAAAAGGCCAUAAUUGAAAUAAUUAUGCUAGGCUAAUUAAUUAAGGCCAUUUUAGGCCCAUUAACAAAUUUGACCAACUUUUUAAAAAUUAUUUUAAUCAAAUAAUUACAGCCUAAUUUUUCCCGUAAUUAAAACUUUCUCCAAUUUUAAUGUUAUUUCUAAUUAUUUGUUUUUAGGGAUUAGAUAAACCCAAUGUAUACACAUAUAUAUGAAAUAUAUAUGUAUACAGUUGGUGUAUACAUGAAGUUUAGGCCCCAAUUAAAUUAAAUUCGAAUUUGGACCGAGUCCAGCCCAAGCCAGGCUAUGACCCGGCCCAAUCCCUUUUAAUUAAACGAUUAGUAUACCCCCCCCCCCCCCCCCCCCAAAAAAAAAAAAAAAAAACGCCCCAUUUUCAUUUUUUCUUUCCCUCCUACUAGUUUCUCUCUCUCUCUCUCUCUCUCUCUCGCCUUUCUCAUGAAACCCUAGUAGCUGCCUAGGUUUUCCCCGCCUCUUUCAUGCCUAAAAUGGCAUAUUUAUAGACCUGGGCUGACUCGCACAACAUUUGCAUGGUUAUUGUGGUGAAAAGGUUAAAGUAUUACUCGUUUUUCCUGUUCUUACUCCCCAUUAUGGUAACGAAUGCUUACUUUACCUGUUUUUUUUCCCAAAUAUUUUGCCAAGAUCGUCAUUAUCGUUACUUUAAAGUUUAUUUUUUCUUGCAUUAUUACUAUUGGUUCGUGCUUAUUGGGUCAGAUCUGACCGUGUGUUGGCUUGCCUUAAGAUCUGGGUCGUUGAUUAGGUGUUACUGAGUUUGAUUGUAAAAAAAAAACAAAGAGGUUUUGUCCCACAUCGUUGUUAUUUUGAUUUCAGUUGAACUUUGGGGUUCUAUUUUAUAGAACCCCAACCCUCGUACAAGAACAAGUUUGGGGAAGGUGAGAAAAAUAGCAAAAAAUAUAGAGAAAUUUGAGAGUAAAAAGAAGUGGAAAAACUCUGAUUUUUCGAAAAACUUCUUAGUAAAAGAAUUAAAAAAAAAAACCUAGACUGAACAGUUAGAGUUUUGUAGUUAAAAUAUUUGGUCCUUACUUCAUUUCGUUUUUCGUGUGUGUGUGGCUGGGUUGCUGAGAUUUGGAAGCACAGAGGCUCCCAAAUCCGUUCUUUUCUUGGUUGCACACCUAAAAGGUGAACCUUAAUUCAUUUCAUUUUGUUAUUUAGUAUUCUGCCUAGUUUAAAUAUGUUUGUAAGUUAGUUAUGUUUAUAUGUCUGAUGGUGCUUGUUUGCUAAAUAUGCCUUAUUUGGUUCUAUGCUUAACAUAUGCUUUAUUUGACACAAACACAGUAGGAAUUAGUGUAAAUGUUAUUGUGAAAUUCAUUUAGGAAGUAGGUUGUUUGAACCACCUAAUGGUUUUUGUUUGUUCAUGUGAUCUUAAGAUUCUUUGUUUACCAUGAAGAAGUGUGUGUGAAGUGCUUAUGAAAGUCCCUUUUCCUUUCCUAUCUUUCUUGAAUGUUUUGUUAGUUCGUUGAUUAUGAUCCGAAGUAGAGUCAACAUAGGAAGUUCAAUUUAUUUUUAAAGAAAAGAGAUGAGACAGUCUAUGUGUUGGUAUAGAUGAAUGUGAGUGAUUUGCUGGUAGUGUGUGCUUGUGAUUACAGUUAAGUCUCAUACUUUGUUAAUCAGUCAUGAACUGCCCCUAUUGUGAAGUGAAAUCUUUUGUCAAAGUCUUAACUGGGCUGUUUGAAAUUGAAUAGUUGGUUGGGACACAACUCCUGAUGUGUUCUCUUUCUUUUGAAAAAUAAGUAAAUAAAUGAACACUUAGAUAGAAUGUGAACCUAUUUGCUGAAUCUCUGAACAUCUAAUAGUAUGUUACCUUAUUUCUUCUUUCCUUUCCUCUUAAAUGAUCUUGCUCACUUAGAAUAGAGUAAGACAAGAUACGUCAAUGGUUUGUUUGUUUGUUUGUCAAUUAAUACUAAAACAAAGGAGUAUCAGGUUCAUGUUUUAAGCUUGUAGUUGUUUAUGGCAGUAUUUGUGGUUGUGUUAUCAUCUAAUGCAGGAUAGACAAUGUGUAAUCACCUGUGAUUUUUGGCAAAUAUGUGCCAAUUUUCCAUGACUUAUAGUAAAUUCUAGAACCAUUAUGAUUAAGGCAUUUGAGUGUGAAUUCUGUUUCCCUUUUUUUUUUUUUUUUUUGGUUUGAGGCUGGUUUUCUUGACUGAAUUUGUUGCCUAUACACAUGGUGUUCAUAACCUGCUAUGUUGGCUUAUGUCACAAGUCUUUCACCUAAGAAUAGUCUACUCCUAAAUGUACAGAGUUUGAUAAAAGGGGAAAAGUGAAAAUGGAAAGAAGUGAUUAACUAUAGGAACUAUAGGAUUAAGUCGUCAUUUAAAGACUGAUUAGGGUUAACCUAGUUGACAAUGGGCAAAUAGGUUGGUUGUCAACCUGUAGUUUAGUCAUGAUCAUGUUGAAACUGAAAAAGUAUAAAAAAUAGAAUGAAAUGGUGUCUAAGAGAGUGGCCUGUUCUCUUAUUGGUGAUUUCUUCUUGUUGAUUCUGCCCUAUCAGUGAUUUUACUUAAAGGGAGAAGUAAAUUUAUUAUAAAAAAUAGACUGAUAUGCUAUGCUCUUGCAUCUGUGUUGCUUUUCAUCCAUGUAUGGGUCUUAAUUUGGUAAGUGAUCAUAAGUGUUCCAAUUUUAUGAGUUUAAGUGUUAAAAGAAGAAUGAAAGGAAACAACUUGGUUUUGAUUUGUCUAAGUCUUGAACAGUUUGGGGACUAAGGCUUUUGCCUUGAGACAUGAAUCCUUUCUCUGCUUCCCUGUGUGUAUAAGUGGUUGAUGUAAUAAUAAUAGCCCCUAGUUUUCAAGCUGACUAGGCUUAAAGAUGGACACAGAUAGGGAGAACAACUUUAUGAUGCUAGUCUAAGUAAAAGAAGAGCAUGAAGGAAUAGAAAAGAAGAAAACAGUAUUUGAGAACUUAAGAAAAGCAUUUGUCUUUGAUCUGUAAACUGUCCAGUCUCUUUUAGUAUGUGAAAGAGGGUAAUAAAAGAUCAUAUGUGUAGGGGUUGAGGUUGAAAACCACUUGGCUAGGUAGGGAAGGUCUUUUAAAGACAUCUUAGGAGAGGAUUGAGAAAGGGUCAAGCAUUGCUUGACCCAUAGUAUCUUUUUUCCCAAAAUAAAAGAUAUUCAUGGCAUCUCUCUCAAGCCUAUGGGGGUAUAACCUCCUACCUUUGCAUUUUAGUGUUUCCUUGUCAUUCUAUUGAGGUUAUUGAAUCCUAAAAGAUGAAAUUUCUUUACACUUGUUAGUUGUUCACUAGGACUGAUUGGCCUGGCUUUGUUGUAUUUGUCCUGAUGUGUCUUAAGAAAAUGUUUGGAUCAGUUGGAUGAUGUAUGAUGAUUUAGAAAUUGUGAUAAAACUAGAAAAGGGAAAAGUUGUUUUAAAAAAGAGAAUACUGAUUGUUUUGGCAAAUAAAGUAGAAGAGUUUUUUUAUAUGAAGAUGACAUGAUAACAUAUGACAGACUCUUUGACAUUUGGUUAAGUUAGGAUCAUGAUUUAGACCCUAUGUGGAUUCUGUGUGCAUUGAUGUGGUUUUAACUUGUAUUUUUGAAAGGUGAUCUAUUGUGCCCUUAUAUCCCAAGUCCUAAUAGUGCCCUUUAAAAAUAGGGAGGUCAAUGGUUUGCAUUCAUUCAGGAUAGUCAUGUAGGCUGAGGGGUAUAUUUGACCCUUUUUCUUUGUGAUACUUUAGACAACAAGUCAUGCUUUCUUUCCAUCUUCUUCUUUGAAAUAUGUUAUGAGUCCAUUAAUCUAAAGUCCCAGUAAAAGAUAAUGCUGAACCUAAUCUGAUUAUGUUGGAAGAAUUUUUUUUCCUUCUGUGCAGCAUUAAAAGUUAGUAAAACUAUGUGAUGCUUGUCUAGUUUUGAAAAAAUGAAGAUUAAGAUAAGGCCACAACUAAGUUACGUGCAUCCCUUUACAAUCAAUUUAGACCUUUCUGCAAAUGAGAUAGAAUCAAGAGUAAAGGUUAGGAAAAUUCUAAACUCUGAACUUAGAAAUGUGAAAUUCUUGUGCCUUUCUGGGACCUUGACUUUCCUACUUGUCUAAGUCAUGGAUAAAGGUGUAAUUGUUGUACCUGAGACUUGUACAUUCUACAUGGGAUCAUGAUGAUUUAAAGGUCUCUUGAUAGUUUGUUUUUCUACAAAAGGAUCCUAGUUUGGUUUUGAUUAUUGCUUGUGUCUUGAAAUGGGUUAUGUGAGGAGUAAUAUAGUAUCAUACUAAUAAAGGGUUGUUCCAUUUUAAAAGAACUCUGAUUUUCACCUACUUGGUUUUUGUUAUACUAUACCUGUUAAGAUUACAAUUUGGUUCCCUCUAUUUAUUUUUUAUCUUCCCUAGAGGAAUCAUUUAAACUUUGGAACAUAAUCUCUAAAAAAUGGCAAGAGAUCUUCACUUGAAUUGCCCAUAAAAUGUCCAGGCUCAUUCGAGGGUUAUAUUUAGAUAGUUCUACAUAUACUUCAUGCAUAACAAACCUGUUGUGAUUGUACUAUACUUAGAGGAUGGUUUUCCUUAUCCUUGUGUAUCUCUAUACUUUACCACAUCUACUUGAUUCAAUAUUGUCCAGAAUUGUAUUGUUUCCAUGUGACUGUCACUGCUGUGAUUACUUGGUUUAAGUUCAGUCUAGGGCACACUAUGCCUAUACAGAUUGCUUUCAUUUUCAUGCUCAAGUCACUUCAUUUCUUCCCUAUUUGUUUCGUCUAUUCUUGUUGGCUGAUAGUUGUUCCAUACACAUGUAUAUUGGGCCUAUCCUAUUUAUUCUGAGCUAUGUGUGUGUGUAUGUGGAUCUGUGUAAAGGGGGGUCUAGUUUGAACCCUUCCCUGGUGACCAGUCAUGCUAGAGGUUCAUCAAACCUCUUGGAACUUGUGUGGCAUCAGGAACAAAGGGGGGGGGGGGGGGGUGAUGACUUGGCCUUCAACCACCUAGUUUGGUAUUUUGAGUUUGAGGACAUGGAACACACAUAUGCCUCUGACAUGAGCUUAUGAAUAAAUAGGCUAUGUUUCUUAUAUGUGUGUAUAUUUAUGUAUAGAAUGGGAUUUAUAAACGGUAAUGUGUUAUGUAUAUUAUGUGCAUAUAUCAUAUGUAUGAUAGGAACAGUAAAAUAUUAACUAACCGGGGUCUUUUGUUUUUCCCCUCUCUACUGCAUGGCUACUUGGGCCGAA